CCAGACUCCUACGGGAGGCAGCAGUGGGGAAUAUUGCACAAUGGGGGAAACCCUGAUGCAGCGACGCCGCGUGAGUGAAGAAGUAUUUCGGUAUGUAAAGCUCUAUCAGCAGGGAAGAAAAUGACGGUACCUGAUUAAGAAGCCCCGGCUAACUACGUGCCAGCAGCCGCGGUAAUACGUAGGGGGCAAGCGUUAUCCGGAUUUACUGGGUGUAAAGGGAGCGUAGACGGCAUGGCAAGUCUGAAGUGAAAGCCCGGGGCUCAACCGCGGGACUGCUUUGGAAACUGUUAAGCUGGAGUGCAGGAGAGGUAAGUGGAAUUCCUAGUGUAGCGGUGAAAUGCGUAGAUAUUAGGAAGAACACCAGUGGCGAAGGCGGCUUGCUGGACAGUAACUGACGUUGAGGCUCGAAAGCGUGGGGAGCAAACAGGAUUAGAUACCCCUGUAUA
rnacentral:rRNA from 1 species